rnacentral:rRNA from 1 species
AUUGAACGCUGGCGGCAUGCCUCACACAUGCAAGUCGAACGAGUGGCGGACGGGUUAGUAAUGUCUGGGAAACUGAGUGAUGGAGAGGGAUAACUACUGGAAACGGUAGCUAAUCCCGCCUACCAUCAGCUGUGCCCGAAUUGGAUUAGCUAGUUGGUGGGGUACAGGCUCACCAAGGCGACGAUCCCUAGCUGGUCUGCGGGGAUGACCAGCCAAACUGGAACUGAGACACGGUCCAGACUCCUACGGGAGGCAGCAGUGGGGAAUAUUGCACAAUGGGCGAAAGCCUGAUGCAGCCAUGCCGCGUGUAUGAAGAAGGCCUUCGGGUUGUAAAGUACUUUCAGCGGGGAGGCGUUACCCGCAGAAGAAGCACCGGCUAACUCCGUGCCAGCAGCCGCGGUAAUUC